rnacentral:rRNA from 1 species
UAAUAUAAAUUUACUAUAAAUAUUGUAUUUAUAAAAAUAUUUUAAAGAAAUCAUUUAAUUGUUGGUGUAAUUGUUAUAGAUCUAAUUAUAAUAAGUUAUAAUGAAUAGUACUGUGAAGGAAAAAAAGAAUAAAAAUCUAAUAUUUAUUAAGUUUGAAGUUAAAUUUAAUUUUUGUACCUUGUGUAUCAGGGUUAAUCAAUAAAAUUUAUUUAAAUUAAUUUUCUCGAUUUCUUUAGAGCUAAUUUAUUAUGUUAGUUAUUGUUGAAAAAAUAUUAAUAAUAAUAUGUUGGGAAUGAAAUGUUAAUCGUUAAUGAAUAUAUCUAGUUUUUUAGGAAAUAAAUUUAAUUUAAAUUCUUUCUUUAAUUAAUUUUUUUAAAAAUAAAGUUUUAGUUGGAUUAAGUUAUAAAGGGGAUAAGCUCUUUAUAAAAAAAAUUAUAGUAAUAUAGUUCAUAAAUUGAUGUGGAUUUAGAAGUGAUUUUCAUUAUGAAUAUGUUAUAAAAUUAUUUUUUUAUUAUAAAAUUUUAUAAUUCUUUAAUGUUUUACUAAAAAUUUUUAAUUAAUGAAGUAUUAAUUAAAAUUAUGAUUAAAUUAGUAUAAAUUAUAUUUAUAAUAUUUCUUUUUAUAAGAUUAUUUUGAGGAAUUAGGCAAAUGAAUUGUUCGCCUGUUUAACAAAAACAUCUCUUCCUGUUAAUGUAAGAAGUAUCACCUGCCCAAUGAUUAAUGAAUGGCCGCAGUAUACUGACUGUGCAAAGGUAGCAUAAUCAUUAGUCUCUUAAUUAGAGGCUGGAAUGAAUGGUUGGACGAAAUAAUAACUAUCUUAAUUUAAUAAUUUAGAAUUUAAUCUUUAAGUUAAAAAGCUUAAAUAAUUUUUUGGGACGAGAAGACCCUAUAGAGUUUUAUAGUAAUAAAAAUUUAUAUAGUUUGUAAUUUUAAUAAUUAUUAUUACUAUUUAGUUGGGGUGAUUGAAAGAUAAAAGUAACUUUUUUUAUAUAUUUUUAUUGAUUAAUAUUAAUAUGAUCCAUAAUUAAUGAUUGAAAGACUAAAUUACCUUAGGGAUAACAGCGUAAUUUUUUUUAAGAGUUCAUAUCGACAAUAAAGAUUGCGACCUCGAUGUUGGAUUAAGAUAAAUUUUAGGUGUAGAAGCUUGAAAAAUAGGUCUGUUCGACCUUUAAAUUCUUACAUGAUCUGAGUUCAAACCGGCGUAAGCCAGGUUGGUUUCUAUCUAAUAUAAAUUAUAAUAUUUUAGUACGAAAGGACCAAAUAUUUAGAAUAAUUUUUGAUUAAUGUAUAUUAUUAAUA